rnacentral:rRNA from 1 species
AUUGAACGCUGGCGGCAGGCCUAACACAUGCAAGUCGAGCGAGCGGCGGACGGGUGAGUAAUGUCUGGGAAACUGCCUGAUGGAGGGGGAUAACUACUGGAAACGGUAGCUAAUACCGCAUACCAUCUGAUGUGCCCAGAUGGUAUUAGCUAGUAGGUGGGGUAACGGCUCACCUAGGCGACGAUCCCUAGCUGGUCUGAGAGGAUGACCAGCCAAACUGGAGCAUAGACACGGUCCAGACUCCUACGGGAGGCAGCAGUGGGGAAGAAUGCACAAGGGGCGCAAGCCUGAUGCAGCAAUGCCGCAUGUGUGAAGAAGGCCUUCGGGUUGUAAAGCACAUUCAGCGGGGAGGCGUUACCCGCAGAAGGAGCACCGGCUAACUCCGUGCCAGCAGCCGCGGUAAUUC